rnacentral:rRNA from 1 species
GAGAGGUGCUGCAUGGCUGUCGUCAGCUCGUGUUGUGAAAUGUUGGGUUAAGUCUCGCAACGAGCGCAACCCCUAUCGUCUGUUGCCAGCAUUAAGUUGGGCACUCUGACGAGACUGCCUGGGUUAACCAGGAGGAAGGUGGGGAUGACGUCAAGUCCUCAUGGCCCUUACGUCUAGGGCUACACACGUGAUACAAUGGCGCGUACAAAGGGAAGCGAACUCGCAAGAGGGAGCAAAUCUCAAAAAGCGCGUCUCAGUCCGGAUUGGAGUCUGCAACUCGACUUCAUGAAGUUGGAAUCGCUAGUA